ensembl:lncRNA
AAGCAUAACUUGCUGUGACUAGUAUUGUCAGAUUUCAGAGCCUAAAGCUGUCGGAAUAAGCAAGAAAAGCAACAAAAGGUCUCUAUAAUCGUCAUUUGAAAUAUUGAACACUGAGUGCCAAACAUUUCAAAAUGUAGUGUAAAUAUGAUACUUUAUUAUUUGUUCUUUUAUGUACGUUCAAAGAUUUUUCUUCACAGUUGUUCUUUCAUACACUAAGGAAAAGAAAGACUUCAAAAGAAUUACAACAACUGAGCUACAGUAAGUGAAGUUGCUUAUUCAGAAUUUGAAAUGCUUCUGUGGCUACAAUGACUUUUCAGCAGCACCUGCUAUUUUUAUGUCUCUCAUUUGGUAUCCAAACUUGGAAACACUUGUCAUCAAAUUUAUGAGGUCUCAUAUCAACCAAAGAAAACUGCAUGAGUGGAUAUAAAAAAUAAUGUGACUCUCCCCUCCAACAGGACAAAAGCAGAUCUUGGGUUUCCUGCAGACAUGGUCCUCCUGCUGUCAGCCUGUACAUCUGCAUGGUCAGUCACAGCAUGAUAGAGCAAGCCUGAAGGACAUGUGGAACAAAGUGCCUGAGGGCACACAAGGUGUAGUCAGCCCUUAGUCCCUGCAGGGUAGCAAGGCAGUCAGCCAUCUGUCCUGAGGGGCAGCAGGCUGGUGGCUGCCACCAUAUCGCUUGGAGCAUCUUUUGUGACCACUCAUCAGCUGCUGCAGAGCCAGAGCCGUAAAGUCACUGUCAGUUUGUACUUCUUUCCCCUCAUGAGGACAUUCACAGUGGUCGAGGCUGGAGUAAAUAUAUGAGUGGGGCACACAGAAGGCCACAUCAUCUGCCAGACCCAUGUCCAGGGCCCUCCUCAUGAUGCAAAAAAGGGAGAAAAGGUACAGUUGUGGAUUAAUUACAACUGUUUUUCCCAGCUGAUACAGCACUGGACUUAUUCACAGGAAAAAAAAAUUGUUUUGUCUCAAAUAAAAUAUAAUCAAUUGUGAUUAUAGUACUAUCCUGAAUGGUAAGGAUGGGGUAGGGAGUAAGAUAUCAAAGGUAAUGUUUAGCUGCAGUCUUGUGAUCGCUAGCAGGCAAGUUGUUUCAAUCUGAAAGAACCAAAGAAACCUUUUUUCCUACAUGUUUUUUAACGUUGUGAGUCUAUUAGAAAAAGCACCACCUGAGAUUUUUAAUGCUUUCAUUGUGUCUGUUGACCUUUCCACAAAUCAUGAAAAUUCUGAUUCACAUACAGUAAAUUUCCAUGUAUUUUCUCCAAGCUUCCAGGUCUGCAGAAAAUUUAAUAAACUGCUUUGUGUGUGUUUAUACUUUAAAAUAUGUUCAAGGAAAAAUGACAUCCAUGUAAUUUAGGUACAUAACAACUUCUUCACUGCAUUGACCCUGAAGAUCAAAGAGCUACUGAAGGCAGUUGGAGCUACUGCAUUCUGAUUCAGCUUGAGAUUUACAGUACCGUGCAGAUCAUGUUUUACUUUACCCGAUCCAAUUCACCUACUAUCUCAGAGUGCAGCUUUUCAUCUGAGAUCACAUUAAAUGGGACAGAAAAACUAUGUUAACAGGACACUAAUGUUCUAAGUCAUCUUCCUUUAAAAUACAAAAUCUCAGCCAAGUGAAUUCAAACUGACUCAUUUCUUUU